rnacentral:other from 1 species
UACUUCCUGCCGGGUGCGUGAUAAAGCUUCGAUUGGGCCUACACUUACUUUCAGGGAGCCCGGACUUCCGUCUCGGGGAUGCAGACCUCCUGCCCCUUGCCGCAUUGCCGCGGGGAAGCAGACGCUGGGAGCACGAUGUGGCGGAGAGGGCACCCACCUGCUACCUGCAGGGCUAAGUUCGGCUUUACACGGCCAUGGCGGGGUUUCU